rnacentral:rRNA from 1 species
UACGUAGGGGGGCUAGCGUUGUCCGGAAUCAUUGGGCGUAAAGGGCGCGUAGGCGGCAUGGCAAGUGGAAGGUGAAAUCCCUCGGCUUAACCGAGGAACUGCCCUCCAAACUGCUUUGCUUGAGGCCGGGGAGAGGUGAGUGGAAUUCCUGGUGUAGCGGUGAAAUGCGCAGAUAUCAGGAAGAACACCGAUGGCGAAGGCAGCUCUCUGGGACGGUACUGACGCUGAGACGCGAAAAGCGUGGGGAGCGAACAGG